UUUCCCUUAUCGACUCUUUCAACACCUUCUUCAUUUGUGGAAGUGAAGACACUUGGUUUUGCCUCAUUCAUUGCUGACCACAUUUUUUUAUAAGUUGUUGUAUUCGCACCCUAUCGAAAAUUAUCUAAAUUUAUAUUCCACAGACCUAUCGAUAAACAAAUUAUGUCCACGGAGAAGAAAAAUCCAGCAGAAAUUACCCAAACGUUUGGUCAUACGGUAACAAUUCUCCAACAGUCAGCUCAACUACAUCAAGAUUAUCAACCGAUUAGACACUGAGAGAUAAAUAUAUUUUUUCCUAAUACUAACUUCCUUGACAAAAGUAUUUACUUUUGCAAAAUUAUAUCUCCUCGAUUGACUUAACCCCAGAAAGACAAAAUUCCCUGUCAAUUAAAAAAAAUGAACACUUCGCUGAAGGGACUCGAUAUUUGGCAGAAAUAUUUUUUUGUUCUCAGUCCUGAUCAUUUCUGCUGAAUUUAUCUCUCUGUGAAGAGGAGUCUUCGCUCGAGCCCCAUUCGGUUACACUCAAAGAUGUCAGAACGAUUGGUUUGUAGGUGUGGCCGAUGUUCACCUUGAAAAAUCCAGCUGUUGAACCAUCCCUUAUCGCCCCAUACUUGAUUUUUGUUUGACCAGCCAGGUCAUUGACACUACUGAUAGACACAUCCUUUUUCGUCGCUGUGAGGCAGGCAGCUAGGUUAGCCGUCCAAGAAGACACCAUUAUUAGGAUGAAGAACCACCACAUAGAUGCUGCCAAACGAGUCGAAUCGGCCCUAAACGGUUAUUGACAAUCAGCACUUUUCAUUUUGACGGGCCAUUUCCUGCAAACAUUUUGAUAAAUGGUUUACCUCGGAAGUAUAUCUGAACCCGCCUGUACCAGUGAUGGUGUGGUCAGCCACAGAGAAUUCGCUAAAUCAAAACUAUUCUCAAGUUCUUCGGGUUCAGAAUUCGAUGGUUGAUCAGCA